rnacentral:rRNA from 1 species
GACGAACGCUGGCGGCGUGCUUAACGCAUGCAAGUCGAACGGAAAGGCCCUGCUUGCAGGGUACUCGAGUGGCGAACGGGUGAGUAACACGUGGGUGAUCUGCCCUGCACUUCGGGAUAAGCCUGGGAAACUGGGUCUAAUACCGGAUAGGAGCCAUUUUUAGUGUGAUGGUUGGAAAGUUUUUUCGGUGUAGGAUGAGCUCGCGGCCUAUCAGCUUGUUGGUGGGGUAAUGGCCUACCAAGGCGGCGACGGGUAGCCGGCCUGAGAGGGUGGACGGCCACAGUGGGACUGAGAUACGGCCCAGACUCCUACGGGAGGCAGCAGUGGGGAAUAUUGCACAAGGGGCGCAAGCCGGAUGCAGCGACGCCGCGUGGGGGAUGACGGCCUUCGGGUUGUAAACUCCUUUCGCUAGGGACGAAGCUUUUUGUGACGGUACCUAGAUAAGAAGCACCGGCUAACUACGUG